rnacentral:lncRNA from 1 species
ACAACUCUUUCUUUCAGUUUUUAUCAUUAUCUUAAUAUUAUUGAUUCAAUUCUCUCUUUCAGUUUUAUCAUUAUUUUAAUAUUAUUGAUUGUUUGUUACAUUUAUUAACUUGUUCUCUUGUUUUUCCUGUCUUCUGUGAGCUCUUUUCAAAGCUUGGAUCCACGAUCAGUCAAGUCUGUAUGAAUGUAUGAAAGAAGAGAUGGAUAUACAAUACGUUUCUCUAUAUAUCACUCUGAAAUCCACGAUCAGUCAAGUCAGUAUGAAUGUAUGAAAGAAGAGAUGGAUAUACAAUAUGUUUCUAUAUUAUCACUCUGAAAUUCUCUUAUCAGUCCCGUCCCAGAGUUUGACUUGUGCUGUGAGGUCUUUUCGAAGCUUGGAUCCCAGGAUCAGUCAAGUGUGUAUGAAUAUAUGAAAGAGAUGGGUACAAUAUGUUUCUGAAGUUCUAUAUCAGUCUCAGCACCCGUAGUUUGACUUGUGCUCUGAGAGAUGUAUCAAUAAUGUGGAGAGGAAAAUCGGAGAGAGGGGAAGAGAUGUAUUGUAUAGAUCGAGUUUUCUUCUGUUUUUUUCCUUUUGUCUUAAGUAGGUGAGGUCUUUUCAAAGCUUGGAUCCACGAUCAGUCAAGUCUGUAUGAAUGUAUGAAAGAAGAGAUGGAUAUACAAUAUGUUUCUAUAUUAUCACUCUGAAAUUCUCUAUCAGUCCCGUCCCAAAGUUUGACUUGUGCUGUGAGGUCUUUUCGAAGCUUGGAUCCCACAAUCAGUCAAGUGUGUAUGAAUAUAUAUGAAAGAGAUGGGUACAAUAUGUUUCUGAAGUUCUAUAUCAGUCUCGGCACCCAUAGUUUGACUUGUCGUCUGAGAGAUGUAUAAAUAAUGUAGAGAGGAAAAUCGUAGAGAGGGGAAGAGAUGUAUUGUACCGAUCGAGUUUUCUUCUGUUUUUUCCUUUUGCCUGGAG